rnacentral:lncRNA from 1 species
GCCUAGACCACUAAGGGCCGUGACGUGGUGCCGCUGAGCUUGGACCCCGACCAGAAGAUAGAGAUUGAAACGAUGAGGAAAACGAAGUGCCUAAUCCCCGCUGGACGCUAACUGCAGGGCAAGCUCCCCAGUGUUGUAGUUGUGUUUCGGAGGCCGAGAACCGCUAUCGGGCUUCCUCGGACUCUGGCCCUGGAGGGGGGAAACGGCGAGGGAGAAGGCGAAACGAGUCUCCAGUGUGUUCUUGGGGCCUGGUGCGAGGCCCAGAGAAUUCUCUGCAGGCCUUUGCCCGGGCACUGAUUAAGGCUGCGAAGAGACGCACCGGGCUGCGGGCUUAGUAGCUUCAGGCUUCUGAAGUCAGAGGGAGGGCUGAGAGCUUACACUUCUGGAGCUCCCCGGGAGACGGCAACUACCCAACCGUGUGGGUGUGUUUGUGUAUGUGUCUUUUGUUGAGCUUCGGCUGGCUGUGUUAUUCAUUCAACAAAUAUUUAUCGAUCUUCGGCAGUGUGUCAGACAUACCUUCUUCUCAAAUCUUCACAUCAAACCUGAAUUAUCUCCAUUUAAUGAUGAGGAAACUCGGGCUCAAAGAAGUUAAGUGUUCUAGCCAAGACUGCAUAGACCCAGAAAUACUCUCCACACCAUGCUGCACUGCUGCGGAUGAGGGAAGGAUGGUGUCGGGGCUUCAAGACUGUUUUUCCUACCUCUUCAGUGCCUCUUUCAGUGAUAUGAAGUUAAAACCAGGAACAUGGAGGAGACAUAUUUCCACCUAUUUCUCUCCAUAAGUAUAAAAGACCAUAAAAGACCAUCUAGGGACUUCAGAACCCAAAUAAUGACACAAUGGUGAGUUCCCUGGGUUUUCUUUUUUGCACUGUAUUUCCCAGACUUGGAGCUGAAGAAGUCAGCAACAUAGAAACACCAAUGGACACAAACAAACGUAGCCCAAAUAAAAGCCUGUUCUCAUUAACCAGUGGACCAGGAAAAGGCAGCCUAGCAAGGCAGAAAACUUUUAGACGAUAACUGUAAUAAUUUCUGUACUCCAGCCAAGCACCAAAGGAAAAAAAUGCUGCUCCACCCCACUUAUGCCAACAAAGACCAAGUUAUGAGCUUAAAUGUCCACCCUUAAUUUGCAGGUUCUCCCUCUGCCUGCCACCCCACCCAGCAAGGAGGAGAGGAAGUGUUGAGAAGGGAAGUGAGAAAGGGGAGGCUCAGAGAGGGGAAGUAACUGCUGCAUAGUCACACAGCUGGAGAGUGACAAGGUCCAUGUUCAAACCAAGGGCUGAUGCCAAAGUCCAAGCUUGAACCACACUGCAAUGCUGCCCAUUUGUGCACUAUUCCAUCUGCGUAUCCAGCAGCAAAAUACAAUUCUGCUCAGAAUAAUGAACCUAAUGUUCUGAAGGCACCAGAAGGUUGUGGAAGUAUUGACCUAUCUCUAGUUAGCAUCUGCUCACCAGGACCCCUGAGACUGUGGAGGGGGUAACUCAGCAGAAGGACCAGGGCUAACAGGGACUGAAUCCUUACCACAUACCAGGGCCCGUUCCAAACACUUUGCAUGUUUUAAAUUGCUUUAACUUCUCACACUCAGCAGCCACUCGGGAGUUGGGAAACAAUCUCCUGGGGUUUGUGCUGGCGUGAUUAAGGAAAGAGGCCACUUACAGGCCUUUGUCUAAAGCCUCGCGCCGGUGGUGGCUGGGGUCAGGAAAGCUGGGAGGUUCAACUACGGGCGAGAAAAUUGGGGCACUUUCCACGUCUCUCCCGAAAAUAAAAGAAAGGAUGCCGGGCACGGCGGCUCACGCCUGUAAUCCCAGCACUUUGGGAGGCCGAGGCGGGCGGAUCACCUGAGGUCAGGAAUUCGACACCAGCCUGGGCAACACGGUUCUGAAGCAACACUGUAACUGCUGAAUGCUUCUGGCUGCUUCUUUCCACAGUAAAAGGUGAAAAGAAAUAUCUUUUAUUGAGAUAGACUGAGGUCCAGGAAAAACAAGUGCAACUUCAUGGUCCUUUUCUUCAUAUUCUGGAAUACAAGAAAACGUGUAAAUGUUUGCAAAUUCAGGUGCUAAGAGUUUUGCAUGUAUAGCAGUACUUUUACCAUCUGUUUCAUUUGGAUGUUUAAUGAUGUCAAUCUUUACAUUUUCAACUGGAAUGUAACAUGUAGAGCAGUAGAACAUUCUGGAACCACCACAUUUGAGACAUUUUGAUCUCCCACUUUGCUGAGCUUUUUGAAGAACUU